UACGUAGGUGGCAAGCGUUGUCCGGAAUGAUUGGGCGUAAAGCGUCCGCAGGUGGCAGUUCAAGUCUGCUGUCAAAGACCGGGGCUUAACUUCGGAAAGGCAGUGGAAACUGAACAGCUAGAGUAUGGUAGGGGCAGAGGGAAUUCCUGGUGUAGCGGUGAAAUGCGUAGAUAUCAGGAAGAACAUCGGUGGCGAAGGCGCUCUGCUGGACCAUAACUGACACUCAGGGACGAAAGCUAGGGGAGCGAAUGGG
rnacentral:rRNA from 1 species